UUAUUAUUAUUGAUUUUUACUGUUUAAUUGUAAAUUAAUUAUUUGCAUUUUCUAUAUUUUAUAAAACAAAGUGCGUGUUAUUCGUGCCUGCAGAGCCGCUUCCGCAUAGCUGAUUGACUCCAUAGUUCAAGUCCCAGAUAAGCCGAAAGGGAUCGCUGUAGGCGCUGCUAAGGAGCGCGCGCGUGUGUUUGUGCGCACCCGGUCACGUGCUUCCUACGCUCUGAACAGCCUCAAGAGAGCAGAGAAUGAUGACGCCAGUACAGUGCGAGCUCACUCAGACUUUAGACAAGAGAGUCAGAGAGGAGAGGAGAGAGUCGCUGUCUGAGGUAGGAGGAGGAGGACCCAUAAUCUGAGAUCACGGAGCCUUUAAUAGGAGCAGGGUUAUUAUGGCGACUGCUGCCGCGCUGCUGCUGCAGGAGGAGGUGGAGACUGAAGUUGUGGACGUUUCCUUGAGUCACCCAGCGGUGAAACGACUGAACUCAGAACUGUUUCACUUCAUGUUGUUUUUAUUUCUGCUCCUUUUCCUGUUUUAUUUCUUUAUUGUUUCUUCUAUAAAACGUUGUUUACAUUUUAUAUUUAUUUAUCUUAAAUGUACGAGCUACCGCUGAUGUAAAAUGAAAAAGUUCCAAUUUUAAAACGUAAUUUGCUUCAUAAAAAUGUUCAGAUUUGACUUUCAGAGGCACGCUUUCGUUUUCUCAUCACCUUCCUAUGUUCGUCAUCUCUUUCUCUUUUAUUGACUUGAAUGAAGAUGUAUGGAGUGAGGAUGUGUGUGUGUUCUCUAGAUGGAGUUUGUCCACACACACACACACACACACACACACACACACACACACACACACACACACACACACGCACGCACGCACGCACGCACGCACGCACGCACGCACACACACACACACACACACACACACACCGAUCCCUGCUAGGCUAAAUGGCAGACCCCUGGAUUGGCUAAGUGAUGAAAUGAUGACCCCAUUAUCAGAAGCGAUUCCAGAAUGAGAGGUAUCAGACAACGAUUGCAGCUCUCUCUCUCUCUCUCUCUCGCUGCCUCGCCACCCUCCUGCAGCACAGAUGAUGAUUGAUUUGCUGGAGAUGGAUCACAGAAAGCACCCAUUGAUUUUUCUGUGUUUUAUUAAAAAUAUUUAUUUAUGCCUGUAUCCAUCGGGUGCAUCCAGCCUCACCCCAUACCUGGCCCUCCAUGCAGGCUAAGGUAUAAAAAGGGAUAAUUCUCACUUUUCCGUGAUAAGACAGAUGACCCGAAGCAUUUUGUCAGAACGGAGUCAAUAGACUGGGCAAGUAAAUGAACAUUGAUUGAAAAUAAUGACGCCUGAGUGUGAAUAUGAGCUCUUUCAGCGACCCUCCUCCAGACUCGCUGUCAGCAGGCCUUGUUUAAGCCUCCAGUUACAGCUGGGAUGAAACAGCGUUCAUCUGUUCUCCUCUAAAGGUUUUAGUAUUUCCUGAAAAGGACAACAAAACAAAGUCUCCUGAAUGUGUAAUAAUCCCACUCAGGCUCCUGAGGUGUGUAGGAGGCCUUCACAACAGGUAAAGUGAUACUACGUACAAAUCAAAUGACUGCCAGGAUGCUAACACCACAGUCUGGGAGCGGUGUCUUAGAUACCUGCUCUGACUUAAUCCAAUUGGAAUAGUGUGAGUGAGUUGCAGGGUCUCCCAGGUCUGCUCCAUGCUUAUGUAUGUGAUGCAUAAUAGAAGUUGACGAGGUUGGUGAUAGAUCGCAGCCCAGGUAAUGUAAACACAUUAAUCCCUGAGGGUUCAUGUGCAUGUUCUUCCUCUCUCUUUCCUCUUCCAUCAGCCUUUCCUUUCAGAGACCCCCGCCGCCGCUGCCGCUCCCCAGUGCUCAUCAUCUCCCCCAAAUGCGUUACUGGAGCACAAACCAGAAGCAGCCUUAAUCUGUCAACAUGCCCUUUAAUUGGAAGAAGAAAACAACACGUGCUUUUGGUUGUGCCAUUCCUAAGUGCACAUGCCAAAGAAACGCGGAGCUCAUGGAAGAAGUGAUCCCGAGAGAGCGGGGCAUAAUUAAAAGUAUCUUUUAAUAGGCCUGUAAUGCUGAGCUGACUCUUGUUGCCUUAAGUAGAGAGCAAAGUCUGUGGCUGCAGACGGACAUGCGAGGGGGCUUCUGCUGAGGGAGCCUGUAAGCGAUACGCCGCCUCGCCGUCAUCAGACAUGCAGUCUCCGCCGGAGUCACCACACCGAGGACAACAGCCACUUUCCAGCGCCGCCACAGACACCUCAGCUCACCAGCUCCUGUGUGCUUUUGUUCUCCAACAACUCUCCGUCCCCACUUUGCCAAGCAGUGCUCUGCCUCCGACUCGCGGCACCGGUGGGGAGUGAGAACUGGGAUUAAGGGGUUGAUUUCGGGCCCGCUGCACUGUAAUCAAAUGAGACUGCUUAGGGGAGAGGAGGAGGAGGAGGAGGAGUAUUAUGUUCUGCCGUGCAUUCCACUGCAGCCAUGUUGCUUUUUGUUUUUGUGGGGCAGGCUUUGAUGCUGUAUCCCCUUACCUUUGUAGUCCCAGUAGCCGUGUUUCAUAAACACAGAAUGGGAAGCAUCCUCAGCGUUAGACAUGGAGAUCUUUGCUCUUCCCCCCUGCCACUUUGCAUUCCGCGCAUGUCCGGUCAGAUUCUCCAUGUUCCAGUGCCGAGGUGUUACGUUUCCUGUCCCACGCCUCUGAUACCUUUAAGCAUCUCACAAUCAGGCCCUGUUAUUCAGAGUGUCGUGCAUAAUCUGGGGCAACAGCAAUGCCAGAAAGGCGGCGCGUUCCUUCUCCUCCGUAGAAGUCCCAUGCCCUUUUUAUUAAAAACAUUUAAGACAGCUGCAUUUGCUAAACGGUGACCUCCCUGGAACUGAGAAGUUGCCAGAAGCUCCUCUUGGACUUUGUCUUCCUCUAGUGUUAUUAUUAAUAAUCUACACAUUCUCCUUCUGUUAUUGCACAACUGGGAAUUGCCGGGCCUGCAACUGGCUUUGUGGUUAGCUGAAACUCUGGAUGGGAUGAAGCAUAAUGUAUUUCUGGAUCUAUCCUAACUCAUUAAAAGCCCAAAAUGUCUGCUA